rnacentral:rRNA from 1 species
GAUGAACGCUGGCGGCGUGCCUAAUACAUGCAAGUCGAGCGAACGGACGAGAAGCUUGCUUCUCUGAUGUUAGCGGCGGACGGGUGAGUAACACGUGGAUAACCUACCUAUAAGACUGGGAUAACUUCGGGAAACCGGAGCUCAUACCGGAUAAUAUUUUGAACCGCAUGGUUCAAAAGUGAAAGACGGUCUUGCUGUCACUUAUAGAUGGAUCCGCGCUGCAUUAGCUAGUUGGUAAGGUAACGGCUUACCAAGGCAACGAGGCAUAGCCGACCUGAGAGGGUGAACGGCCACAGUAGGACUGGGACAAGGGCCAGACUCCGACGGGAAGCAGGAGUUGGGAAUUUUCCGCGAAGGGCGAAAGGCUUACGGGACAACGGCGCGUGAGUGAAUAAAGGCUUCGGGUCGGAAAACUCUUGUUUUAGGGAAGAAAAUGUGUUUAAGUAACUGUGCACAUCUUGACGGUACCUAAUCAGAAAGCCACGGCUAACUACGUG